AUUGAACGCUGGCGGCAUGCCUUACACAUGCAAGUCGAACGGCAGCACGGGAGCAAUCCUGGUGGCGAGUGGCGAACGGGUGAGCAAUAUAUCGGAACGUGCCCAGUCGUGGGGGAUAACGUAGCGAAAGCUACGCUAAUACCGCAUACGAUCUAUGGAUGAAAGCGGGGGAUCGCAAGACCUCGCGCGAUUGGAGCGGCCGAUAUCAGAUUAGGUAGUUGGUGAGGUAAAGGCUCACCAAGCCGACGAUCUGUAGCUGGUCUGAGAGGACGACCAGCCACACUGGGACUGAGACACGGCCCAGACUCCUACGGGAGGCAGCAGUGGGGAAUUUUGGACAAUGGGCGCAAGCCUGAUCCAGCAAUGCCGCGUGCAGGAUGAAGGCCUUCGGGUUGUAAACUGCUUUUGUACGGAACGAAACGGCGAGCUCUAAUACAGUUUGCUAAUGACGGUACCGUAAGAAUAAGCACCGGCUAACUACGUGCCAGCCGCCGCGGUAA
rnacentral:rRNA from 1 species